GGGAAAAGAUGGUAGAAAAAGAAUG
rnacentral:piRNA from 1 species